ACAGGUGGAACCCUUUAAUUGGCUAUUGUUUAUGGCCAAUACACAAAGUCACAAUGCCGGAUGCUUGGAAUGCAACGUGCUGUGAGCGUGCUCCAGAAUUUAGGAAGGCCAGUGGAUGAGGGAAUCCCUGGAGGGAGUUCAUCCUCUAAGCCCACCCCCCAAGACACAAGUGCCUUUAUAAAAUAUUCUGACGGUGCUAUCUGCCUGGUAGAGCCCCCUCACGCCACAACAGACCUUAUAACUGUAAGUAGGCAAUACUCCAAAGACUUUGCCAAAUGGUAGUUUAAGUAUACUGAAACAUAUCACUCAUCUAUAAAGAGCACGAGGAAACUGUCUGCUGCCUUUACAGAGGGGGAUCCAGAAAGGCCUAUAGAGGUAACAUCUUGGUAUGUUACUGAUAGUUCUCUUCCCACUGACAUUACUUAACAUUCUGCUGGAAUAUAGAGUGUGACAUUUGGCCUACACUGAAGUAUUAACACUUUCUUAUCCUUUUGAACAGGGCAUGGCUGGGCAGCAGCAGGAGGAGGAUCCCUCAACUUCCACUGCACACAGUGAGAUUGAUGUUUAGUAGACACCAGAGGUUCAAUCUGUGGAAUUCAUGUGCAACUGUAUAAUUUAAUGUCCUCCUUAUGUAUUCCCAGUUACCAGUAAAAUAGAUUUACAGAAUUCAUCUCCUGAAAAAAA